ACUAUAAUAGUUUAAAAAAAACAAGGAUUUUGUAAAUCCUAAUUGAUUAAAUCUUAUAGAA
rnacentral:tRNA from 1 species